UCCGUUACUCAGAAUCGGCCAAAACAAAAACAAACCUUUGUGGAAUGCUUGAUGCAAACAGAACUCUGAGGAUCACUGGGAGAUGGAAAGUGUAGAACAAUUACUGGCCUUUUAGGAUCGCUGUUUAGGGAAGGAGAGAGGAGGAGUGCGUAAAGAACAGAUUGUAGUGUGAUAAAUGUUUUAAUAGCGGUGUAAAAAACGAGGCACCAUCGAAAUGCCUAUGGGACAUCUUCAGAGAAGCGGUGGCAGCUGAAUGGAAGUUUGCCAGGCAGACCUAACAUACCGAGUGGAUUGCCCAAUCAGAACUUCCCAACUGAGGCACUGUGAAUACAAUAUAGCCGUGU